rnacentral:snoRNA from 1 species
AUCGGGGAUGAUUAUGAAUGUUUGUUUCUGAGGAUGUAUAUGCAGGACCAAAAAAUUAUAGGAAUUCUUCGUUUAUGACCCGAU